rnacentral:rRNA from 1 species
UACGGAAGGUCCGAGCGUUAUCCGGAUUUAUUGGGUUUAAAGGGAGCGUAGGCGGAUUGUUAAGUCAGCGGUAAAAGCCCGGGGCUCAACCCCGGCGAGCCGUUGAAACUGGCAGUCUCGAGUUGGAGAGAAGUAUGCGGAAUGCGCGGUGUAGCGGUGAAAUGCAUAGAUAUCGCGCAGAACUCCGAUUGCGAAGGCAGCAUACCGGCGCUCAACUGACGCUGAGGCACGAAAGCGUGGGGAUCGAACAGG